CCUACGGGAGGCUGCAGUGGGGAAUAUUGGGCAAUGGGCGCAAGCCUGACCCAGCAACGCCGCGUGAAGGAAGAAGGCUUUCGGGUUGUAAACUUCUUUUAAGAGGGAAGAGCAGAAGACGGUACCUCUUGAAUAAGCCACGGCUAACUACGUGCCAGCAGCCGCGGUAAUACGUAGGUGGCAAGCGGUGUCCGGAUUUACUGGGUGGAAAGGGCGUGCAGCCGGGAAGAAAAGUCAGAUGGGAAAUCCCGCGGCUCAACCGCGGAACUGCAUUUGAAACGGUUUUUCUUGAGUACCGGAGAGGUCAUCGGACUUCCUUGUGUAGCGGUGAAAUGCGUAGAUAUAAGGAAGAACCCCAGUGGCGAAGGCGGCUGACUGGACGGCAACUGACGGUGAGGCGCGAAAGCGUGGGGAGCAAACAGGAUUAGAUACCCCAGUAGUC
rnacentral:rRNA from 1 species